GAUGAAGAACGUAGCGAAACGCGAUACUUGGUGUGAAUUGCAGAAUCCCGUGAACCAUCGAGUCUUUGAACGCAAGUUGCGCCCGAAGCCAUUAGGCCGAGGGCACGCCUGCCUGGGCGUCACACGUCGUUGCCCCCCCAUCUACUCCUUCGGGAUUGCGGGGGGCGGAUGAUGGCCUCCCGUGCGCCUCGUCGCGCGGUUGGCAUAAAUACCAAGUCCUCGGCGACGCACGCCACGACAAUCGGUGGUUGCGAAACCUCGGUUGCCCGUCGUGUGCGGUCGUCGCGCAUCGAGGGCUCGAAAAAAUUGCCGGGCUCCGGCUCGGCUUUCAACGCGACCCCAGGUCAGGCGGGGUUACCCGCUGAAUUUAAGCAUAUCAAUAAGCGGAGGA
rnacentral:misc_RNA from 1 species